CGCGGAUAGGGCCAAGGAGAUUAAGACCCACGUCCACGAGAACAGGGGCACCGUGGAGACGCACAUCGCCGAGUACCAGCGCAUGAUCGACGCCCUGCAGGAGGAGCGGAGGGAGCUGCGCGCGGAGGUUGACCGGCUCAAGGGCGGCGGCGGCGGCGGCGGGGGCGGCCGAGUCGGGGUUGGUGGUCCGAGCAACGGCUUCGCCGCCGCCGUCAACGGAGGGCGGGUCCCGCGCGAGUCCGGCGGCAACGGCGGCUGGAACGGCGGCGGCCACGAGCAGGGCCUGACGGUGGAGGAGGUGGAGAAGUUCGCGCAGGAGCUCGCGGAGGCGACGGACGCGUGCGCCAAGGCGCAGCGAGUGCUCCUCGAGCGGCAAACCCGCGAGGCUUCCGCGCGAGCAGCCGCCGCCGCCUCCGCUCUCGAGGCGCUCGCCCCGAGCGCCGGCGACGCGGGCAAGAGACCCACGGGCCCGACCGAC
rnacentral:lncRNA from 1 species